rnacentral:rRNA from 1 species
AAUGAACGCUGGCGGCAUGCCUUACACAUGCAAGUCGAACGGCAGCAUGACCUAGCUUGCUAGGUUGAUGGCGAGUGGCGAACGUGUGAGUAAUGCAUCGGAACGUGCCUUUUAGUGGGGGAUAACGUAGCGAAAGUUACGCUAAUACCGCAUAUUCUCUGAGGAGGAAAGCAGGGGACCUUCGGGCCUUGCGCUAGAAGAGCGGCCGAUGUCGGAUUAGCUAGUUGGUGAGGUAAAGGCUCACCAAGGCAACGAUCCGUAGCGGGUCUGAGAGGAUGAUCCGCCACACUGGGACUGAGACACGGCCCAGACUCCUACGGGAGGCAGCAGUGGGGAAUUUUGGACAAUGGGCGCAAGCCUGAUCCAGCCAUGCCGCGUGAGUGAAGAAGGCCUUCGGGUUGUAAAGCUCUUUCGGCUGGGAAGAAAGCGCACCCUCUAAUACAGGGUGUGGAUGACGGUACCAGCAUAAGAAGCACCGGCUAACUACGUG